GCGGCGGUUGGGCCCUGGGCUGCCUGGGCGCUUGGUAGUCCCGCCGCCGCCUCCUCCUCCUCCUCCUCCUCCUCCUCCUCCUCCUCCUCCUCCUCCCUCUCCUCUCCACUGUGGGCCGAGGGGGUUGUGGCGGCUGCUGGAGAACUCGGCGGCGGAGGAUGGAGGAAGGAGGCGGCGGCGCGCGGAGUCUGGUCCCAGGCGGGCCGCUGUUACUGGUACUCUGCGGUCUCCUAGAGGCGUCCGGCGGCGGCCGAGCGCUCCCCCAGCUCAGCGAUGACAUCCCUUUCCGAGUCAACUGGCCCGGCACCGAGUUCUCUCUGCCUACAACUGGAGUUUUGUAUAAAGAAGAUAAUUAUGUCAUCAUGACAACUACACAUAAAGAAAAAUAUAAAUGCAUUCUUCCCCUUGUGACAAGUGGGGAUGAGGAAGAAGAAAAGGAUUAUAAAGGCCCAAAUCCAAGAGAGCUAUUGGAGCCACUAUUUAAACAGAGCAGUUGUUCCUACAGAAUUGAGUCUUACUGGACUUACGAAGUAUGUCACGGAAAACACAUUCGGCAGUACCAUGAAGAGAAAGAAAGUGGUCAGAAAGUAAAUAUUCACGAGUACUACCUUGGGAAUAUGUUGGCUAAGAACCUUCUAUCUGAAAAAGAACAAGAAGUGGAAGAAAAGGAAAAAUCAAAAGAGAUUCCCACUAAAAAUAUCGAAGGUCAGAUGACACCCUACUAUCCAGUGGGAAUGGGAAAUGGUACACCUUGUAGUUUGAAACAGAACCGGCCCAGAUCAAGUACUGUGAUGUACAUAUGUCAUCCUGAGUCUAAGCAUGAAAUUCUUUCAGUAGCUGAAGUUACAACUUGUGAAUAUGAAGUUGUCAUUUUGACACCACUCUUGUGCAGUCAUCCUAAAUAUAGAUUCAGAGCAUCUCCUGUGAAUGACAUAUUUUGCCAGUCACUACCAGGAUCACCAUUUAAACCCCUCACCCUGAGACAGUUGGAACAGCAGGAAGAAAUACUGAGGGUGCCUUUUAGGAGAAAUAAAGAGGAAGAUAUGCAAUCAACUAAGGAAGAGAGAUUUCCAGCAAUCCACAAACCCAUUGCUGUUGGUUCUCAGCCAAUGCUCACAGUUGGAACAACCCACAUAUCCAAAUUGACAGAUGACCAACUCAUAAAAGAAUUCCUUAGUGGUUCCUACUGCUUUCACGGGGGUGUUGGUUGGUGGAAAUAUGAAUUCUGCUAUGGCAAACAUGUACAUCAAUACCAUGAGGACAAGGAUAGUGGGAAAACCUCUGUGGUUGUGGGGACAUGGAACCAAGAAGAACAUAUUGAAUGGGCUAAGAAGAAUACUGCUAGAGCCUAUCACCUUCAAGACGAUGGUACCCAGACAGUCAGGAUGGUGUCACAUUUUUAUGGGAAUGGAGAUAUUUGUGAUAUAACUGACAAAGCAAGACAGGUGACUGUAAAACUAAAGUGUAAAGAAUCAGAUUCUCCUCAUGCUGUUACUGUAUAUAUGCUAGAGCCUCACUCCUGUCAGUAUAUCCUUGGGGUUGAAUCUCCAGUGAUCUGUAAAAUCUUAGAUACAGCAGACGAAAAUGGACUUCUUUCUCUCCCCAACUAAAGGAGAGAACACACCGAGGGACUCAGCAAAAUGUCCUGUAAGAUGAGGGAAAUGACUGAUUUUGUCCUGGUAACCUUGCAGGAUCUUAGUUCCCCAACCAGGGAUCAAACCUGGGACCCUGCAGUGAAAGUGCCAAGUCCUAACUACUGGACCACCGGGGAAUUCCCAAGAAAAUUAAAUUUUCAGUCUCCAUGUACUGAAAACAUGCCAGUUCUGAGGUACUCUGAACUCCUCAAAGAAAGUGUCUAACAUUAUGGUUCUCUGUGAAGAAUACAAUUCCCAGUCAUAUCUUUCCUCAGAGUAAUAUUAAUAAAAUCAGUUCUUACAAUUUCUUUGACAUACAUUGUUGCUAAACCCAAGCAAAUGAGCAAGAAACUUUCAUAAGCCCUUCCUAACGUCAGAUAUGAAAUGUAUUGAACCUGAAGCAUUUAUACAGGUUACAAAACCUAUCCUAGUGCCGCGGCCCCAGAAGACAGGCAUAAAGCACCCUUUGUGACUUGCUCUACUUUUUAAGGCCUAUCUGGCAUCUGAACAAGGUACAUUUUGCAAAACAUCAGUCUUUGCAUGAAAAUCAAGGUUCCCACAGUUGAAAGAUCUCCCACUCAUCAGCAUGCUACAAGCAGCUGAAGGUUUGGAAAAGUGUCAAAAAAACAAACCUUCACAGAAAUGGAACUCAGAGAAACAAACUGAACCAGCUAAGUGUAUUUAUUUUUUUUAAAUCAGAAUUCUCUCUUUAUUGGGGUAAAGGAGGGAAAAUUCACUAAUUUGUCCAUAAACAAUAAAGUGAUAUUUUUACUUUGGUAAAAUUAAUCUCAAAGGCACUGUACCUAAACAGAUUGCCUGUUAACUAUCUCUUAUGGAAAGCAGAAUUUCACUAAAUCUGCACCUUUAUUCAAAUUGUCAUCUGCUUUAAAGUAACUGGUAUAGUCCCUUCUGUCCCUCCAAGAACGAGUUACCCCUUUUCUCCUUAACUCCUUUGUGGUUCCUGAAGAGUUUGCUUUUAUCCUGAGUCCUCAGGCUGCAUUAUGAGCCAAGAAAUUCGAAUGAGAAUGAAUGCAGGUUGUCUGGCAGCUCCUGGGCAGCCAGGGUGGUCACUUGGGAAAAGAUGCCCUUAAAGCUGGUCUCCUGAGUAAACAGAAACGCUUUGUAGUCCUCCUAAAUCAAGACCCAUAUCCCCUUUCAUUAGAGUCCUGCUGAUGAUUAUCCUGGGAAUAUAGAGAGGGAUACAAAAAGUAACAAACAUGGGGAAAUUGUAAGCCAGCCAGAUAGAGAUGUGCGUGGACAUCACUUUCAGGCUUUAUCCAUUCAGUCAUUUAUUAUAUGAUUCAUUUAUUCUACAGUCAUCACUGGAAGCCCACCAGGGCCAAGGACUAAUAGGUACUAGGGAUACGGUGCUGAUCAAAAUACACAGUCUUUGCCUUUUUACAGCUUUUUUCUAAUGGAGACAGCCAGUAAACAAUUAUAUGUAACUAUUAUGAACUGAAGUGUGCCCCCCACCCCCCAAAAUUCAUGUUUGAAGUUCUAACCCACAAUGUGACUGUAUCUGGAGAUAAGGCAUUUAAGGAGGGAAUUGAGGUUAAAUUAGGUCACAAGGGUGGGGCCCUAAUCUGAUACGACUGGUGUCCUUAGAAGGGGAAGAGACACCAGAGACCCCCUAAACUUCUCCCUCCAUGCACAUACAGAGAAGAGGCCACAUGAGGACACGAUGAGAAGGCAGCCUUCCACAAGCCAGGAAAAGAGACCUCACAGGAAACCAAUCCUGAUGGCAUUUUGACCUUGAACUUCUAGCCUCCAUAAUUGUGAGAAAAUUAAUUUCUGUUAUUUAAGCCAGUUAGUCUGCGGUAUUUUGUUAUGGAAGCCCGAGCAGGCUAAUACAGUAGCAUAAUGUUGGGUAAUGAUAAGAAUCAUGAAGAAAAUAAAGUAUGGCAGAAGGAUAUAUAGUGAUGGGGUGGAGAGCUAUGUUGAAUAUGGAAACUAGGAAAGGCCCUGGGGGAAGAUCAUUCCAGGCUGAAGUAUUCCUAGGGGAAUUAAUUCCCUGACAUGAGAACAAAAUGGAGGCGUGUGAGAAAUAGCCAAAAAGGCUGUGUAGCCCAAGCACAUUAGGCAGAGUACACAUGAAAGGAAAUGAGGACAAAGAGGAAACCAGGGGCCAGAUUAUCAGGGUCAUGUAGGCCAUAGCAAGGACUUCAGAUUUUGUUCUAGUGGGAUGGAAAGCUGCUGGAAAGUUUUAAGCAAGAGAGUGACAAGUAUGAUUUACUUUAAAAGGGUCACAGACACACAGGAAGGAGACUGUGGGAGAGAAAGACUGGAAUGUGGGAGAAUGGUUAUGAGGCUAGUUUAACAGUCCAGGUGAGAGAUGGUGGGGGUCUGGGCUAGAAGGGAUGGGGUUGAAGGAGGUGAGAAAUAAUUGGAUUCAGAGUAUAUUUUCAAGAUAAUUGAGGAUUGCUCUAUCAAUUAGAUGUGGCAUGCAAGAGAAAGAAAAGAAUCAAGGGCCCUGACUGAGCUGUGCACUGGUCAUUGUGGUGCUGUUUACUGAGAUGAUAAAACAGCAGGAGGCACAAGUCUGUGGGGAGCGGGUUUGAAUCAAGAGUUCAGUUUUGUACAUGUCUAUUAGACAUCCAAGUGGAGACGCUGAAUAGGCAAUUGGAUAGACCAGCAUGAAGUUCAGGGAGGUUAGGAUUAGAGAGAUAAAAUGAGUGUCAUUAGCACUUAAGUGGUAUUGAAAGACUGAAUAUUAUAAUCACUGCCAGCACCUGCUUCUCAAUUUACAGAUCCAUAUUUAGGGGUGGGGGAGGAAGUAGGGAGCUAUUUUCCUAUCUUUCUGGUCCUCCUUUCCCUUCUCCAUCCCCUCAAAAAUUACCCCAUCUGGCUUCAAGCCCUCACUUCAAGAAGACUUCACACUUGGGCCGGUGUUGCUGACUGGUACAUACUGAAGCACAUUACCCAGUCACCUGCCGAGGCAGAGUCCUCCCACUGGUGGAGCUUGCCUGCUUUGGCUGUGGUUCUAAGCUCAGUCUAGGCCUGCCCUCUCUAAAGCCUGGAUCCCUGGAGGAGGUGAGCCUUUCUCCCUGACCGCCUACCUGCCUCUCCUCACCAUUCCACAGACCUGGUGUCUUCACUGACUCUCGGCCUUCCUUCUUCAACUCCAGUAGGGAGGCAGUGAGAGCAAAUCCCUUUUACGGGACCGUAGACCUCUUUCGGUAAUGAAGAAGAAAAACAACAACUGCUUUAAGUGAAUAAGGGAGAAAACGCCUACCUCUGGGAGUCAAAAGUGCCACUGUAGUUUCCAUGUAUCAUUGCCACUAAACUGAAUGAAGAGGAUGACCUUGAAAGGGGAGCCUCCAUAAUCUGGCCUGGCUAGGUUAUGGAGAAUUACCCAAGAAUGAGCCAUAACCCGAAGUCAGAUCUGGUGGGAACCUGAACCUGCCAGCACCCAGGAGUGCUACUGGUGGCCUAGCGUAGAGAUCUUCAAAUGGGGGUGCAAGUAUCUUGAGCAUGAAAAAGGGAUCCAGUUUAUAGAUGCUCAUUUUCAGGUCCCUACAACUGAGCUGUUUGAGAAGGCUACUGUGCCUUACUCUUUUAAGACCUCAUGCUGCCCUUUCAUUACUGCCCCUUCCCACUUUAGAAAAGAAUUCCCACCUGGAAUCUUAUGAGGCCAUUGCUUCUGGAUGCAAAGAGUUCCUAACCAAGGAACUAUUUAAAAUCUUAGUUUCAAAGAAAGAUCCUUAAAGUAUUUAUCAAGGGACCAUAAUUUUGUGUUUUCCCCUAGCUUAUACUAAACACCAUAUAUCACCAAUUCUAAGAUAAGCAUUUUUUCACGUUGUAACCUCUCUGAAAUUGGUGUAUCUUACCAUCAUGUAAGCCAAAUGGUUGUUGUUAUUACCUGCACUUGUGCAUUUUCACAAUCAAAACUUGUAGAAUGCAUAUUGGACGUAUAGUGGAGCACUUUUUUAUCACCUAAGAAGCAGAGCUGUGGGGCGAAAGUGGACAGUGGGUGGUGAAUCAAAUGAGGUUAACAAUAUUCCUAAAGCAGAAGACAAAUUCUUUUGUCUAGAAUAACUCUCUAGGUCAAGUAGAUGAGUCUCUAAAUUUAAACCUAUCACCCAGAGAUACAUUCCUUGUUGCCAAUUCAGUUUUGACUCCUUAAAAAACUUCUGCAAGGACAGUCUGUAAGGAAACGCUCUAUUCCCAGCUCUCUUUCUUAUUUGCUAGGUUGACUGAAGGCAGUUUUCCUCUACAUUACUUUCCUUGAACAGAUAUAGGUUUGUGAGUAAUUUCAACAGUAUUCAUAAAAUGAAUCUGCUCUUCAAAAGUUUGAUGAUGUGAUCAUUUCAACAGAAAAAUAUAGAAGGUAAGACAUGUACAUUCUGGUUACAACUAUGUACAAAUGCAUGCUUAUAUCGUAAUAAGGUUCUGAAGUGAAUUUUGAGUAAUAUCUACAAUCUUAUUUAUUGAAUUUUAAAAAUAACACUCCCAUAGAAACUCUCCUAACUGACCUCCACUUUAACAACCCAGCAAGUAACAAGUUCUCUCUUCCCUCUAUCAACUAUUCUGCAGGGUACCCAUGCACACCACAUGCUAGCAGUCUACUCUCUGUGUAUAAGCACUUUUGCUGCCAUCUCUCUCCGGAUCAAACAAACAAACACAAUCAGUAAGAAUAUAGAUUUGAACUACACAAUCAAUAGGCUUGAACUAAUGGACCUGUAGAAAACAUUUUACCCAACAAAAAAUAUACAUUCUUGGGACUUCCCUGGUGGUGCAGUGGUUAAGAAUCCACCUGCCACUGCAGGGGACACGGGUUCGAUCCCUGGUCCGGGAAGAUCCCACAUGCCACGGAGCAACUAAGCCCGUGCGCCACAACUACUGAGCCUGUGCUCCAGAGCCCGCGAGCCACAACUACUGAAGCCCGCGCUCCACAACUACUAAAGCUCGCGCGCCUAGACCCCCUGCUCCGCAACAAGAGAAGCCACCGCAAUGAGAAGCCCACACACCACAAUGAAGAGUAGACCCCACGCACCGCAACUAGAGAAAGCCCAUGCAUAGCAAGGAAGACCCAACGCAGCCAAAAAUAAAUAAAUAAAUUUAUUUAAAAAAAAUACACAUUCGGGGCUUCCCUGGUAGUGCAGUGGUUGAGAAUCUGCCUGCCAAUGCAGGGGACACGGGUUCGAGCCCUGGUCUGGGAAGAUCCCACGUGCCGUGGAGCAGCUGGGCCCAUGAGCCACAAUUACUGAGCCUGCGCAUCUGGAGCCUGUGCUCCGCAACAAGAGAGGCCACAAUAGUGAGAGGCCCACGCACCUCGAUGAAGAGUGGCCCCCACUUGCCACAAUUAGAGAAAGCCCUUGCACAGAAACGAAGACCCAACACAGCCAUAAAUAAAUAAACAAAUACUUUAAAAAAAAAUACACAUUCUUUUCGAGUAUACUCAGAUCGUUUACAUAAACUGUCCAUCUACGGGAGCAUAAAGCAAAUCUCAAUUUUCAAGGGUUGGAAUCGUAUAUAUGUCAUUUGCCACAAGGUCAUUAAGUUAAAAAAUCAAUAAUUGAGAUAUAAUUUUUGGAAAAUUAAGAGAAUCACUUCUAAAUAAUUUGUGGACCCAAAGAAAAAUAAUAAUGGAAAUUAGAGCAUAUUGAGAACUAAACGAUAAUGGAAAUAAUACUGUAGUAAAUUGUAUUAUUGUCCCAAAUAGUUUCUAACUUCCCUGUAUAAAAUUAACAUCCCUGACACUUUCUCUGCCUUUACUGUUUUAUUUUUCUUCAUAGAACAUAUCACCACAUAAAAAUUACAUAUUUGUUUACCUGUUUAUCUUCCUUAGCCUAAUAUAAUUGUCAUGGGAAUAGAAACUUCUCUCUUGUGUUCACCAAUGUAUCUCAAGUUCCUGGCACAUAGUAUUCAAUAAAUAUCCAUUGAAUGAA